rnacentral:rRNA from 1 species
GACGAAGGACCCGAGCGUUAUCCGGAUUCAUUGGGUUUAAAGGGUGCGUAGGCGGAUUGGUAAGUCAGUGGUGAAAUCUCCAGGCUCAACUUGGAAAUUGCCAUUGAUACUGCCAGUCUUGAGUACAGCUGAUGUGGGCGGAAUAUGACAUGUAGCGGUGAAAUGCUUAGAUAUGUCAUAGAACACCGAUUGCGAAGGCAGCUCACAAAACUGUAACUGACGCUGAGGCACGAAAGCGUGGGGAUCAAACAGG